ACCCAAAACUAAGCCCUCUCU
rnacentral:piRNA from 1 species